CACGUAGGGCGCAAGCGUUGUCCGGAAUUAUUGGGCGUAAAGAGCUCGUAGGCGGUUUGGUAAGUUGGAUGUGAAAUCUCCAGGCUCAACUUGGAGGGGUCAUUCGAUACUGCCAUGACUAGAGUUCGGUAGGGGAGUGUGGAAUUCCUGGUGGAGCGGUGAAAUGCGCAGAUAUCAGGAGGAACACCCGUAGCGAAGGCGGCACUCUGGGCCGGAACUGACGCUGAGGAGCGAAAGCGUGGGGAGCGAACAGG
rnacentral:rRNA from 1 species